rnacentral:rRNA from 1 species
GGCUUACCAAGGCUAAGACGGGUAGCUGGUCUGAGAGGACGACCAGCCACACUGGAACUGAGACACGGUCCAGACACCUACGGGUGGCAGCAGUCGAGAAUUUUUCACAAUGGGCGCAAGCCUGAUGGAGCGACGCCGCGUGGGGGAUGAAUGGCUUCGGCCCGUAAACCCCUGUCAUUUGCGAUCAAACGUUGUUGUUUAAGAGAUGACAACCUGAUAGUAGCGAAAGAGGAAGGGACGGCUAACUCUGUGCCAGCAGCCGCGGUAAUACAGAGGUCCCAAGCGUUGUUCGGAUUCACUGGGCGUAAAGGGUGCGUAGGUGGUCGGGUAAGUCGGAUGUGAAAGCUCGGAGCUCAACUCCGAAAUGGCAUUGGAAACUGCCCGGCUCGAGGGUUGGAGGGGGGACUGGAAUGCUUGGUGUAGCAGUGAAAUGCGUAGAUAUCAAGCGGAACACCAGUGGCGAAGGCGAGUCCCUGGACAACUCCUGACACUGAGGCACGAAAGCUAGGGGAGCAAACAGGAUUAGAUACCCUGGUAGUCCUAGCCGUAAACGGUGCAUGUUUGCUGUAAAAGGAAUCGACCCCUUUUGUGGCGUAGCUAACGCGAUAAACAUGCCGCCUGGGAAGUACGGUCGCAAGAUUAAAACUCAAAGAAAUUGACGGGGGCCUGCACAAGCGGUGGAGUAUGUGGCUCAAUUCGAUGCAACGCGAAGAACCUUACCUGGCCUUGACAUGUACGUAGUAGAAGGGUGAAAGCCUGACGAGGUAGCAAUACCAGCGUACACAGGUGCUGCAUGGCUGUCGUCAGCUCGUGUCGUGAGAUGUUGGGUUAAGUCCCGCAACGAGCGCAACCCUUGUGUCCUGUUGCCACCCGGCCGUAAGGCUGGAGCACUCUGGACAGACUGCCUCGCUUAAACGAGGAGGAAGGUGGGGAUGACGUCAAGUCAGUAUGGCCCUUACGGCCAGGGCUGCACACGUACUACAAUGCCCGGCACAAAGGGAAGCAAGACCGCAAGGUGGAGCAAAUCCCCAAAAACCGGGCCCAGUUCAGAUUGUCGUCUGCAACUCGACGGCAUGAAGUUGGAAUCGCUAGUAAUGGCGCAUCAGCUACGGCGCCGUGAAUACGUUCCCAGGCCUUGUACACACCGCCCGUCACAUCAUGAAAGCCGUUUGUACCCGAAGUCACCGUGUCAACCGCAAGGAGACAGGUGCCGAAGGUAUGGAUGGUGAUUGGGAUGAAGUCGUAACAAGGUA